GUCGAGCGAAUCUGAGGGAGCUUGCUCCCAAAGAUUAGCGGCGGACGGGUGAUUAACACGUGGGCAACCUGCCUGUAAAACUGGGAUAACUCCGGGAAACCGGGGCUAAUACCGGAUAAUAUCUAUUUAUACAUAUAAUUAGAUUGAAAGAUGGUUCUGCUAUCACUUACAGAUGGGCCCGCGGCGCAUUAGCUAUUUGGUGAGGUAACGGCUCACCAAGGCGACAAUGCGUACCCAACCUGAGAGGGUGAUCGGCCACACUGGGACUGAAACACGGCCCAAACUCCUACGGGAGGCAGCAGUAGGGAAUCUUCCGCAAUGGACAAAAGUCUGACGGAGCAACGCCGCGUGAGUGAUGAAGGUUUUCGGAUCGUAAAACUCUGUUGUUAGGGAAAAACAAGUACCGGAGUAACUGCCGGUACCUUGACGGUACCUAACCAAAAAGCCACGGCUAACUACGUGCCAGCAGCCGCGGUAAUACGUAGGUGGCAAGCGUUGUCCGGAAUUAUUGGGCGUAAAGCGCGCGCAGGCGGUUCCUUAAGUCUGAUGUGAAAGCCCACGGCUCAACCGUGGAGGGUCAUUGGAAACUGGGGAACUUGAGUGCAAAAAAGGAAAGUGGAAUUCCAAGUGUAGCGGUGAAAUGCGUAAAGAUUUGGAGGAACACCAGUGGCGAAGGCGACUUUCUGGUCUGUAACUGACGCUGAGGCGCGAAAGCGUGGGGAGCAAACAGGAUUAGAUACCCUGGUAGUCCACGCCGUAAACGAUGAGUGCUAAGUGUUAGAGGGUUUCCGCCCUUUAGUGCUGCAGCAAACGCAUUAAGCACUCCGCCUGGGGAGUACGACCGCAGGUUGAAACUCAAAGAAUUGACGGGGGCCCGCACAGCGGUGGAGCAUGUGGUUAAUUCGAAGCACGCGAAGAACCUUACCAGGUCUUGACUUCUCUGACAUCCUAGAGAUAGGACUUUCCCUUCGGGGGAAGAAUGACAGGUGGUGCAUGGUGUC
rnacentral:rRNA from 2 species